GUAGGGUGCAAGCGUUGUCCGGAAUUAUUGGGCGUAAAGAGCUCGUAGGCGGUUUGUCGCGUCUGCUGUGAAAUCCCGAGGCUCAACCUCGGGUCUGCAGUGGGUACGGGCAGACUAGAGUGCGGUAGGGGAGAUUGGAAUUCCUGGUGUAGCGGUGGAAUGCGCAGAUAUCAGGAGGAACACCGAUGGCGAAGGCAGAUCUCUGGGCCGCUACUGACGCUGAGGAGCGAAAGGGUGGGGAGCAAACAGGCUUAGAUACCCUGGUAGUCCACCCCGUAAACGUUGGGCGCUAGAUGUGGGGACCAUUCCACGGUUUCCGUGUCGUAGCUAACGCAUUAAGCGCCCCGCCUGGGGAGUACGGCCGCAAGGCUA
rnacentral:rRNA from 1 species